AUAGAUCUAGGAUUGCCAACAUUAGAAUUAAGUAAGUACACUAGACUCCUUAAUUGGUUGCUAGAAGACAACACUAAAAAGGCUUAAGUACAACAAGCAUCUAAACUUCCAAAGCUAACAUAAGAGUCCCAUCUAGUUUUGGACCAAUUGCAUUAGCCAUGGUAACAGAAGGACCGUCUUUAGAUUACUAAAGAAGAAUGAGGAACCUUCCAUAACACAAAGUGAUAUUUAAACGG
rnacentral:lncRNA from 1 species